rnacentral:lncRNA from 1 species
GAGGUGGAGAGGGCAGAGGUGGGUCCUGAGGGGCUAGGACAGGUCACAGAAAGGACGUUGGGGAAGCAGCCCCAGCAUCAGGGGCGGGCCAGGAAUGCAGAAUGCAUGGAAGCUGGUCAGGUCAGAGCCCGGGCUGAAGGAAGCACGGAGAUGCAAGGGCACCAGGGCCUGUGGGACCAGGAGCCGAUGAUCAGGGCCACAGUGCACACAGCCUUGGAGUGAAGGUGCAAGAACUGGGCCAUCCCAUGGGUCCACCAGGGCUUUGACAAGGCAGGUGCUGGGGCAGAGCACUCUGGCCAGGAAGCAAAAGAUGAAGGUUCCCAUCUUGGCCCCAGCCUGGAUCUGUGCCCAGUGAUAGUCAUCAGCCUGGAUCUGUGCCCAUUGCAUUGUGUGGACAUACCACGCCAUGUUUCUCCAUCACCUUUUGAGGAAACUUCUGUUGUUUCCACCUUCUAACCGUCAUCAGUAAAGCUGCUGUGAACCUUCGCA